UACGGAGGGUGCAAGCGUUGUCCGGAUUUAUUGGGUUUAAAGGGUGCGUAGGCGGCAGAUUAAGUCAGCGGUGAAAUUCCACAGCUCAACUGUGGAACUGCCAUUGAUACUGGUUUGCUUGAGUACAGAUGAGGUAGGCGGAAUUGACAGUGUAGCGGUGAAAUGCUUAGAUAUUGUCAAGAACACCUAUUGCGAAGGCAGCUUACUAAGCUGUAACUGACGCUGAGGCACGAAAGCGUGGGGGAUCAAACAGG
rnacentral:rRNA from 1 species